UAAUUCCACUCCAUAAACACAGUCAUCAUAAAAUACAGCUGAAUUUGAGUUUAAGAUAAAAGACAUCAAAACUGACGUAAUAAAUGUCCCUGUCCACAGCGUUUGUCUGUUGAUGCAAAUGUAUCUUAAUGAAACCAGUGAAAUACCCUGCACAUGGAAAACCUGCACUAAAUGGACAAACUAAAAAUUGACACCAAGGGCUCCUGACCAAGAGUCAAGUGUUGAAAAAGUGUAAAAGACGGUCCCCAAUGAGACUGUGAAUUGUGACGCCUGUUUGGUUGCCUUACAUUUAUCAGUAUUUAAUAUUCUGUUUAUCUAUGAAACAACAAUGUUGAUAAUAACACUAAAACAGCCAUUCUUGCCAUCAGAAAUAGUUAAACUUAAGUAAAAACAUAAGACAUAGAGUGACUCGUCAGGUCGAGAUGCAAUGCAUAAGAGAAUGGCCAGCACGCUGAUGACUGGUCAUACAGAAGCUGAUCAUACAGAUGACCGGUCAUACAGACCGCAUCAUACAGACAGUGAUCACAUCCUGAUGUAACCAAUCGCUCUCCAGCUGGAGGAAGUGCUGCUUUAUAAUCACAGAACAUUCACUCGCUAUUAAAGUGAUUCUGGCUGCUAGAAAGGAGAACAUAUCCUACAACAUGAAAAAGUCAAGUCAACAGUUCACAUUGUUCACUCUAAACAAGAAUUUCACUUCAUCAGAAAGUUCAGUCCUC